rnacentral:lncRNA from 1 species
UGUUCAGAUUCUGUGCAAUUUGAACCUGUCAUGUAUAGGGUUCACAGGUUUUAUUUUAAAGGUGGGCUCUCUACCGUUCUUACUCCUGCUCUACUCGUAAAAGAUUCUGAAGCAACAAUCUAGGUUUCCCCCAGAAGUUAAAUUCCCUUGUUCAUAAAAUGAUCCCAGCUCCCUCCUUUUUUUUUUUUUAAAUAAGAGUGUUGGAUUUGAUCCCCGAGGUACUGCUGAAGUUCUGAGAGCUGUGGUUUUAACUCAGCUGAUAUAAACACAAGAUUAAGGAUGUCAGCAAGUUUGAAGUGAAGUAUUCACAAAAUAAGGAUUCAGUGUAUCAGAGAGCAACUUUUCCAUGGGGUGGAUAAUGUCAUAAGACUAAGUGUACCUGGUAUAGAUGAGAAUUACUGAAGGUAGAAUUUUUUCUCUCUGAGUUUUAUGAAACUUCUUAAGUAUGUCUUGUGUUCUCAUAUUGCUUUUUGAAAAGCAAAGGACAUUUUGAAAACACAAAAUGCAGUGAGCAUGGGUAAUCCUUAGGAAAGAAAUAAAUUGGAAAGUGAAAAUUUAUUUCUGGUACAUCACGAGAUGGCUGAAGGGAACUCAUGUAAAAUAUCUUUCCAUUAAUAAAUUGACUCAGAUUGUUGAAAAAAAAAAAAAGUCGUCAUUUUCCCCAUAGAACAUUUCAGCUGAGGCUUGAAUCCUAGGUACAGUGCUCAGGUACAACGUAUAUAGUCUCUCGAUUUUCCAUGGGA